rnacentral:rRNA from 1 species
UACGGAAGAGGCGCGCGUUGUUCGGAAUCAUUGGGCUUAAAGGGUGUGUAGGCGGAGUGGAAGGUGCUUUGUGAAAGCCCCCGGCUCAACCGGGGAAUUGCUUGGCAAACCACCAUUCUUGAGGCCGGCAGAGGUAUCUGGAACUUUGGGUGGAGCGGUGAAAUGCGUAGAUAUCCAAGGGAAUGCCGAUGGCGAAAGCGGGAUACUGGGCCGGAUCUGACGCUGAAACACGAAAGCGUGGGGAGUAAACAGG